AUUGAACGCUGGCGGCAGGCCUAACACAUGCAAGUCGAGCGAGCGGCGGACGGGUGAGUAAUGUAUGGGGAUCUGCCCGAUAGAGAGGGAUAACUACUGGAAACGGUAGCUAAUACCGCAUACUAUCGGAUGAACCCAUAUGGGAUUAGCUAGUAGGUGGGGUAAUGGCUUACCUAGGCGACGAUCCCUAGCUGGUCUUAGAGGAUGACCAGCCACAUUGGAACUGAGACACGGUCCCGACUCGUACGGGAGGCAGCAGUGGGGAAUAUUGCACAAUGGGCGCAAGCCUGAUGCGGCCAUGCCGCGUGUGUGAAGAAGGUCUUCGGGUUGUAAAGUCCUUUCAGCGGGGAAGCGUUACCCGCAGAGAAAGCACCGGCUAACUCCGUGCCAGCAGCCGCGGUAAUUC
rnacentral:rRNA from 1 species